CCCACAGGCCGUAAACCCAAGGUUUCCAGGGGAAGGUUCGUCCGCCCUGGGUUAGUCGGGACCUAAGCUGAGGCCGAAAGGCGUAGGUGAUGGACAACAGGUUGAUAUUCCUGUACUACCGAUAACCGUUUGAGAGAAGGGAUGACACAGUAGGAUAAGCUAAGCACACUGUUGGUUAUGUGUGCCCAAGCAUUGAGGCAGUCAAAGUAGGCAAAUCCGCUUUGAUAAUGCUGGGAUGGGAUGGGGAGCGAAAUUUAGUAGCGAAGUAGCUGAUUUCACACUGUCAAGAAAAGUCCCUAUCGAGGUUAAAGGUACCCGUACCGCAAACCGACACAGGUGGGUGAGGAGAGUAUCCUAAGGCCAGCG
rnacentral:rRNA from 1 species